GUAAAGGCCGGGAGAUCAAAUUCUAUGUAAGAUCUAUGAAGAUUGAUUUCUUUCUUAAGGCCAAAUUGAUGAUUACUAUCAGAAGGAAAGAACUAAUUAGGACAAAAUCCCCGACUUAUGGAGGCAGAAGCACUGAGCAUCUCAGGGAGGCUGAGUUCCUGGUGCAGGAAUGGUACAGGUGCUUGUGGGUGUAGUAGUCACAGAAAUCAAGCCCCUGGUAACUGCAGACCUGCCGUUGUCAAUUCCUGCCUUCGCAGUAUCUGCUGGCAGCCCUGACAGCAAUGGCUUCAUCAGGACUUUUCUGUGUCACGGUUUCUGGAGUUGCUUGCUGCUGGGAACCCUGAUUCAUCCAGGCCCUCACUGGACACACAGCUCCAGCAGGGAUCCCUCCAGAGCACAGAGAACCAUCCCAGCCAUCCUGCUUCUACUGACGAAGCCUGGACCCAGAUUAACUCUCCUGAGUGACCAUGCCACACACCUGACUCACAUUAAAUUUAACGGUCAACUGAAACCCUCACACUUCUGGGGCAGGGACUCACUCCCUGGUCCAGGGAAUUUCUAGGAAAACAGACUUUAUGUAGUUCCUUAUUACUUGUUCAAUGGAAAAUGGUGUCUGAGCUUCCCCCCACCCCCAACCACGAUAUUUAAUGUAUGAGAGUGAUGCCUUUGAAGUGCUGAAAAAGUGCAGUCAUUCCCUUGACAAGGAAAGGGAGGAAUUAUGGAUGAAAUCCUGCCCCCUCCCUCCCCUGCAGCACAUGCUGUCGGAGUCUCAAGGUCACCCGGCAGCCGUCUCAGGCAGAUGCUUCUCUCUUCCCUCUUCACUAUCAAAGUGUUUUCAAGGGAACCACAGAAGGGACAGCUGCCUUUGAUUGUUCCCUUCUUGAUCCUCCUGGGUCCCUAACCACUCCCAGGGGUCUCCGUGAGUGCAGAAAGAGGCCUCAUAAAACAGCCUUAAAAUAAACAAGAAUUUUCUCCUUUUCUUCUACUGCCUGCCCUGAAGGAAAAAGGGAAAAGAAAAGCGAGGGAGAGGGUGGGUGUUUGAUGGCAGAGAGGAGAGUCCCUUAUGCAUCUUACAACAUCAGUAAACACCUGUGAGAUAAAUAC
ensembl:lncRNA